GACGUAGGAGGCGAGCGUUAUCCGGAUUCACUGGGCGUAAAGCGCAUGUAGGCGGCUGGACAAGUCGUGUGUUAAAGCCCCUGGCUCAACUGGGGGAGGUCAUGCGAGACUGUACGGCUGGAGGGCAACAGAGGCACGUGGAACUCCCGGUGUAGCGGUGGAAUGCGUAGAGAUCGGGAAGAACACCAGUGGCGAAGGCGGGUCUCUGGACAGUUCCUGACACUGAGACACGAAGGCCAGGGGAGCAAACGGG
rnacentral:rRNA from 1 species